GACGAAGGAUGCAAGCGUUAUCCGGAUUCAUUGGGUUUAAAGGGUGCGUAGGCGGUCUUGUAAGUCAGUGGUGAAAUCUUUGGGCUUAACCCAGAAACUGCCAUUGAUACUGCAGGACUUGAGUACAGAUGCUGUGGGCGGAAUAUGACAUGUAGUGGUGAAAUACAUAGAGAUGUCAUAGAACACCGAUUGCGAAGGCAGCUCACAAAACUGUAACUGACGCUGAGGCUCGAAAGUGUGGGGAUCAAACAGG
rnacentral:rRNA from 1 species